rnacentral:misc_RNA from 1 species
GGAAGUAAAAGCGUAACAAGGCUUCCGUAGGUGAACCUGCGGAAGGAUCAUUAUUGUAUAACCGAGGUGCGAGGGCUGUCGCUGACCCGAAAGGUCGUGCACGCCCGAGUGCCCUCACACACAUCCAUCUCACCCCUAUGUGCACCACCGCGUGGGUCCCCCUUUGGCUUGUUCGGAGGGGGGCUUACGUUUUCACACAAACUUUGUAUGCAGUGUAGAAUGUAUUUUUUGUUUUUGCGAUCACGCAAUCAAUACAACUUUCAACAACGGAUCUCUUGGCUCUC